CAGCAUCAGCACCACCAACCCCACCGCCACCGGUGUUGCACACGAAUAAUAUGUACACACCACGCACCCGAAGGCACACAGAGGUUUGUCGGUCCGGUCGUCUUUGUUGUACGCCCUUAGCGCUUUCGUCCCCGCGCUCGUUGUAGCUUUUCGUUGUAUAGUGUGUGCCUGUGCCUGUGCCUGUGCCACUGUUGUUCGUGGUGGCAAUCUUCACCUUUUUUUGGGGGGGAGUCGGCGGACGCUUCUCUGCAGCUUGCUGCUUUUCCUUGUGUCGGGCUCGUCCGCGUCUGCAUCCUCCGCUGACAUUGUCGCGUCUCCUCGUUCUCCCUCGCUUGUGUCGCGGUAGUUUGCAAGCGCGCGCCCGUGUGUCUGCAGCUACGUGUGGCAGAUGGCUUUUAGUUUGUGUGUGUGUGUGUUUGUGUGACCGAGGGCGUUGCAGUGUGCCCUGUGGCAGUUGGCGCUGCACAGGUUGGCUCUUGUGCCACUGGGCUCGUGCGCUCCUGUAUUGUGGAGAACUGCACUUGAAGGUUAGCAUCUCUUCUUCACCCUUUUCUAGACCUCCUCCGUUCUGCCCUCGAUCGGCGUUGAUGGCCCACACCUUGCGGACGCAUCCGCAACACGGUCGCGGCGCGCUGCUCGCCGCCCCUGAUGCUGUAACGAGGGUAUCGAUGCUACUGUUGUCCAGCGCGCUCUUUCUCUCAUGCGUUGUGCCCGCGAUGACCUCAACGACGUUCAUGCGGAUGGCGUACGCGGCCACGGCAGCCGAGCCGCCCCGCUGCCAUGUUGACCGCAGCCGCUAUACCGGCAGAACAACAUCCAAGGGGUCUUGGGCCGGCCUGCACUUCCACCUUGUCUUCACGCUCGGUUUGUGCACGAGUGACCCUGACGACGGUGUGAUGAGCGUGCAGCUGAAUGACCGACACGUGAACUUCACCGGGCGCAGCGGCUCCGUCGCUAUGCCGCACCUCGGCCUGGUCCGCUUCAACCUCUCCGCCUCCACCAUUGGCCCUCAGUACUUCACCUCAGAGCUCUGCUACUCGGACGUGAACUGCACGAAUUUGUGCACUGAUGCGCUAAUGGGCCACGUUCGAGCAUGCAAGGUGGAUCGUGCCAUCAUGCCCGUCAUCAUCGUCCUGUUUUGGAUGGUAACCGCCGUUGCCUGCAUCGGUUUCCUCGCGGCUCUGUACCUCCGCAAGCUCGCAGAGCAGCGGCAAAAGGCGCUUCACCAGUUGCCGGAGGUCUUUGGGACCUCACCGGCCGCCUCUCGGACCUGGCGACCGCAGCAGCGCGCACCAAGCACGCCUCGAUCCUUGUCUUCAUCCCACGCCGUCUUCGCAGACGACCAUAAGGCUUCACACGGCGUCAGCCACGAAGCGGACCUCGAGCACGCUUUCGAAGCGCCUGCUGUGAUCCCUAUGCAGGGCAACGACGAGAGCCUGACACCGCAGCUCCGAAGCACCGCAUCAUCCGCCACCACCACAUCCUGCGGCCUGCCUAAGAGGGAAGAAAUUGAGAUGGCGGCUCUGCGUGCCGUCGCUCCACCUUCUCGGCAGCACCCCUCGAAAAAACAUCGCCACACUCACACUCACGACGACGAGGUGACCGGCACGACUACCAUGAGCUUGAGGCAGGCACGACAUUCCGGACCUGACCUCCCUGCUUCCACCGCAACCCUCGACACCAUCAUCCUCCACUACUCGACACACACACUUAUGCUGCAACCUGAUCGAAAAAACAUAGCAUACCAACUAAACUGCUCCGCACAACAGCAGCAGCCUAAAAAAAACCGCGUCCAGGCCCUCGAGCACGCGGCGCGUCUCCGCGCUGAGCUGGAGGCUGCCGAGGAGGCGGCGCGGCUGGGGGCCGAGCACGAGGCCGAGCAGACCCGCGUCCAGGCCCUCGAGCACGCGGCGCGUCUCCGCGCUGAGCUGGAGGCUGCCGAGGAGGCGGCGCGCCUGGGGGCCGAGCACGAGGGCGAGCAGACCCGCGUCCAGGCCCUCGAGCACGCGGCGCGUCUCCGCGCUGAGCUGGAGGCUGCCGAGGAGGCGGCGCGGCUGGGGGCCGAGCACGAGGCCGAGCAGACCCGCGUCCAGGCCCUCGAGCACGCGGCGCGUCUCCGCGCUGAGCUGGAGGCUGCCGAGGAGGCGGCGCGCCUGGGGGCCGAGCACGAGGGCGAGCAGACCCGCGUCCAGGCCCUCGAGCACGCGGCGCGUCUCCGCGCUGAGCUGGAGGCUGCCGAGGAGGCGGCGCGCCUGGGGGCCGAGCACGAGGCCGAGCAGACCCGCGUCCAGGCCCUCGAGCACGCGGCGCGUCUCCGCGCUGAGCUGGAGGCUGCCGAGGAGGCGGCGCGCCUGGGGGCCGAGCACGAAGGCGAGCAGACCCGCGUCCAGGCCCUCGAGCACGCGGCGCGUCUCCGCGCUGAGCUGGAGGCUGCCGAGGAGGCGGCGCGCCUGGGGGCCGAGCACGAAGGCGAGCAGACCCGCGUCCAGGCCCUCGAGCACGCGGCGCGUCUCCGCGCUGAGCUGGAGGCUGCCGAGGAGGCGGCGCGCCUGGGGGCCGAGCACGCGGCGCGUCUCCGCGCUGAGCUGGAGGCUGCCGAGGAGGCGGCGCGCCUGGGGGCCGAGCACGAGGGCGAGCAGACCCGCGUCCAGGCCCUCGAGCACGCGGCGCGUCUCCGCGCUGAGCUGGAGGCUGCCGAGGAGGCGGCGCGCCUGGGGGCCGAGCACGAAGGCGAGCAGACCCGCGUCCAGGCCCUCGAGCACGCGGCGCGUCUCCGCGCUGAGCUGGAGGCUGCUGAGGAAGAUGAGAAAGAUGUGCGGGCGGCGACGUCGAGUUACAAUGAGGAGUACAAGGGGCGAAUUCUGGCGAAGGCGCGGCCGGACCCGCGGAUGCCGCUGCCGCGGCCGUUUAUUGGGUUGUCGCUGUUGGAGGAUGUGGAAAAGGGCACCCUUAUUGUGGAUGGGCUUUACAGGGAUGGGCCGGCUUACCAGACGGGUAUUCGCCUCGGUGAUGUUCUUCUGCGUAUCGCGGGUGUUUAUGUGGAUUCAAUCGCGAAGGUGCGGCAGGUGGUGGAUGCGCGGUGCCGCUGCGGCUGCGUCGUUCCCGUGACGCUAUCGACGAAAAUGAACCAGCAGUACAGCGUGGCUCUGUGGAUCAUGACGGUGGAUCCGCAGCACAAUGACAAGCCCUUUUUUUUCGAUGUACACAUGCAUCACCGCAUCGAGAGCUCGCAGAUUGGGAAGAAGGCACAGUGGGUGGAGGUUCUUGAGAGCCCAUCCGUAUCUUCGGCUGUCACCCCCCUCGUGCCGCUCUUGCGUGAGCCGACGCCGCGUAGGGGCUCAGAGCUGCGGUCAAGUGCGCGUUCCGCCUUCGUUGCCACGUCUUACUUCUCGAUGGCGCGCAGGUCGCUCAGCUCAGAAAGUGAGCAACCGCGCGGAUCCUCUAGCGUGGCUACGGCGGAGGAAGCGGUGGAGGCGAGCGCGCUGGCGCCGCGAGGGUAUACCCCACCCAACAACGUGCGCCGCCACAGUUGACGUCUCUGUGUGUGUGUGUGUGUGUGUGUGUGUCGCUCCGUCUCCUUCCUUUUACGUCAUGUGUGUUAUCGCUUCUUUUUCUCGUCGCAUCACCCUCCCCCACCCCCGCGACACCGUCUUUCCCGCUCCGACGUUGGAACCUCCUCUUGUUUAUCUACCCUCCCCCUCCCUACCCCAAACACUGCAUCCAGCUGUCGGUGUCACCGCUCCAGCGGAGACCACCUUCUGUCUUUUUGUUCGCAUGCAGAGUUAUAGGAGCGGAUGCGAGGGAGCCAGAACAGCGCGAGGGAGCGUGUGGAGCGCGGCCGCCCCGCAGGCGUUGUUUCAUGUGUGUCUCUCACGUCCUUUCUGUUUUGGUGUUGAUAGUGACUGAAGUUGUGGCUGCUGCUGCGCCGUCUGUGUGCGUUCAUGUGCGCCUCCAGGCCUCUGCACAUGCUGACUUCGAUAGAGGCCUACAUGCCUUCUCCUCUUUCUCCUCCCCAAGUGUGUGGGACUCACUCUGGUGCAGACGCAGCCUCAUGUUGAUGUUGCGGUGUUUUCGUUUUAUGUGAGGCCCCACCUCAACCAACACCACCGCCGCCGCCUCCUGCUGCCUCCCGUCUCACCGGCGCACUCCUCCCGGCACCCCCUUCGGCGUGUAGACCCCACUUCACCCUCCCAAACAUGUAUGCACACAUACACACGCAUAUAUAUAUAUAUAUAUGCAUAUGCAUAUGCACAUCUCUAAGCACCGUCGUGUGCUCUUCCUCUUUUGUCUCUCUCUCUCUCUUCUCAGGGGAAGAUCGGAGGAUGUGACGCUCCAGUGGCUUUUCCCCUGAGGUGGUUGUCGAUCUCGUCUUGUCUUGGGAAAGGAGUACGCGCUCAGCCCAGCUCUCACGGUUCCGGCGUGAACAGGCGCGCUCGCCAUGCGGGCAGAGAGUACGUGGCAACUUGCAUCCCCGCGACCGUCUCCAGCCCUCUUUCUCUGCCGCUUUCACGGCUUAUCAUCGCCAUCAUCCCUCAUCCUUAUCGUCUUGUCCGCUUUCCUUCCUCUCUAGCAGCUUCUCUUCUCAUCGGCGCCCAUCAGCCUGUGUGUAGGUGCGCUGAGGGUGUGUGUGGAUGCACCUCGUCGUCAGCAGUGCCUCCCUCCUCCGAGACUUCUUUGUUCUCCUCCCACCCCUUUUUCGAUGUCGAAGGCGUGUCGCUCUCUGUUUCUGCCUAAUCAGCUGCGGUGACUGCAGCACCCCAUUCCACACUCACCCACGAAAGGCACCGGCGCACGGGUGUACUGGAUGCGUUCACUUGAUGAUCGAAACCGUGGGGAGCCAAGCUUUAAGAGAACACCAGAAAUAGAACGUGGAAAAAUCGGCCUGCGGGUACGCUUACGGCUCUCUUUUCGUGACAGCGCAGACAGGCACACCU
rnacentral:misc_RNA from 1 species